rnacentral:rRNA from 1 species
CCUACGGGAGGCAGCAGUGGGGGAUAUUGCACAAUGGGGGGAACCCUGAUGCAGCGACGCCGCGUGGGUGAAGAAGCGCCUCGGCGCGUAAAGCCCUGUCAGCAGGGAAGAAAAUGACGGUAGCUGAAGAAGAAGCCCCGGCUAACUACGUGCCAGCAGCCGCGGGAAUACGUAGGGGGCAAGCGGUAUCCGGAUUUACUGGGUGUAAAGGGGGCGCAGACGGCGCUGCAAGCCAGGAGUGAAAGCCCGGGGCCCAACCCCGGGACAGCUCUUGGAAGUGCGUGGCUGGAGUGCAGGAGGGGCAGGCGGAAUUCCUGGUGUAGCGGUGAAAUGCGUAGAUAUCAGGAGGAACACCGGUGGCGAAGGCGGCCUGCUGGACUGCAACUGACGUUGAGGCCCGAAAGCGUGGGGAGCAAACAGGAUUAGAUACCCCUGUAGUC